GCGUAUUAGCUAGUUGGUGAGGUAAAGGCUCAACCAAGGCAGUGAUACGUAGCCGACCUGAGAGGGAAUCGGCCACAUUGGGACUGAGACACGGCCCAGACUCCUUGGGGAGGAGACAGUAGGGAAUCUUCCACAAUGGACGCAAGUCUGAUGGAGCAACGCCGCGUGAGUGAAGAAGGGUUUCGGCUCGUAAAGCUCUGUUGUUAAAGAAGAACGUGGGUAAGAGUAACUGUUUACCCAGUGACGGUAUUUAACCAGAAAGCCACGGCUAACACGUGCCAGCAGCCGCGGUAAUACGUAGGUGGCAAGCGUUAUCCCGGAUUUAUUGGGCGUAAAGCGAGCGCAGGCGGUCUUUUAAGUCUAAUGUGAAAGCCUUCGGCUCAACCGAAGAAGUGCAUUGGAAACUGGGAGACUUGAGUGCAGAAGAGGACAGUGGAACUCCAUGUGUAGCGGUGAAAUGCGUAGAUAUAUGGAAGAACACCAGUGGCGGAAGGCGGCUGUCUGGUCUGCAACUGACGCUGAGGCUCGAAAGCAUGGGUAGCGAACAGGAUUAGAUACCCUGGUAGUCCAUGCCGUAAACGAUGAUUACUAAGUGUUGGAGGGUUUCCGCCCUUCAGUGCUGCAGCUAACGCAUUAAGUAAUCCGCCUGGGGAGUACGACCGC
rnacentral:rRNA from 1 species